CCUACGGGAGGCAGCAGUGGGGAAUAUUGCACAAUGGGGGAAACCCUGAUGCAGCGACGCCGCGUGAAGGACGAAGUAUUUCGGUAUGUAACCUUCUAUCCGCAGGGACGAAAAUGACGGUACCUGCCUAAGCCUCACCGGCUAAAUACGUGACGGCAGCCGCGGUAAUACGGAGGGGGCAAGCGUUAUCCGGAUUUACUGGGUGUAAAGGGGGCGUAGGCGGUUCAGCAAGUCAGAAGUGAAAGCCCGGGGCGCAACUCCGGAACUGCUUUGGAAACUGUUGACCUAGAGUGCAGGAGAGGUAAGUGGAAUUCCUAGUGUAGCGGUGAAAUGCGUAGAUAUUAGGAAGAACACCAGUGGCGAAGGCGGCUUACUGGACUGUAAAUGACGCUGAGGCUCGAAAGCGUGGGGAGCAAACAGGAUUAGAUACCCCAGUAGUC
rnacentral:rRNA from 1 species